CCUACGGGAGGCAGCAGUGGGGAAUUUUGGACAAUGGGCGAAAGCCUGAUCCAGCAAUGCCGCGUGAGUGAAGAAGGCCUUCGGGUUGUAAAGCUCUUUUGUCAGGGAAGAAACGGCAGUUUCUAAUACAGAUUGCUAAUGACGGUACCUGAAGAAUAAGCACCGGCUAACUACGUGCCAGCAGCCGCGGUAAUACGUAGGGUGCAAGCGUUAAUCGGAAUUACUGGGCGUAAAGCGUGCGCAGGCGGUUUUGUAAGUUUGUCGCGAAAGCCCCGGGCUCAACCUGGGAAUGGCGAUGAAGACUGCAAGGCUUGAAUCUGGCAGAGGGGGGUAGAAUUCCACGUGUAGCAGUGAAAUGCGUAGAGAUGUGGAGGAACACCGAUGGCGAAGGCAGCCCCCUGGGUCAAGAUUGACGCUCGUGCACGAAAGCGUGGGGAGCAAACAGGAUUAGAUACCCUGGUAGUCCACGCCCUAAACCGAUGUCUACUAGUUGUCGGGUUUUAAUUAACUUGGUAACGCAGCUAACGCGUGAAGUAGACCGCCUGGGGAGUACGGUCGCAAGNUUAAACGUUCAAAUGAUUAGAGNGNGNGAGNGCGAGCGACGACGAGGAGAGG
rnacentral:rRNA from 1 species